rnacentral:rRNA from 1 species
AUGCACGCUGGCGGCGUGCCUAAUACAUGCCAGUCGAGCGAACAGACGAGGAGCUUGCUCCUCCGACGUUAGCGGCGGACGGGGUAGUAACACGUUGAUAACCUACCUAUAAGACUGGGAUUACUUCGGGAAACCGGAGCUAAUACCGGAUAAUAUAUUGAACCGCCUGGUUCAAUAGUGAAAGACGGUUUUGCUGUCCCUUAUAGAUGGAUCCGCGCCGCAUUAGCUAGUUGGUAAGGUAACGGCUUACCAAGGCAACGAUGCGUAGCCGACCUGAGAGGGUGAUCGGCCACACUGGAACUGAGACACGGUCCAGACUCCUACGGGAGGCAGCAGUAGGGAAUCUUCCGCAAUGGGCGAAAGCCUGACGGAGCAACGCCGCGUGAGUGAUGAAGGUCUUCGGAUCGUAAAACUCUGUUAUUAGGGAAGAACAAAUGUGUAAGUAACUAUGCACGUCUUGACGGUACCUAAUCAGAAAGCCACGGCUAACUACGUG